GGUCGUUCCUGAGUUGGCGUCCUGUCUCAGUAAGAGCCAACUAUCCGUGAACAGGACAUUGCUGAGAGAGUCCUAGAGCACGGGGGUGAGGCUGAAGAACCCGCUGCACCACUGACACCAAGACAGACUGCAUUAGAAGUUCUAGAUCUUGAGGCAAGAAGUUCCACAUCAGAUACGAGAAAAUUCAGUUUCUGCUACCUGUGAUUGAAGUUGCAUUUGCAUUGUGUGGUUCCUUGUGACUUCUCUCAGAAUGGUGACAUCUGCCUCAAGCACAUGGUGUGCAUCUUUCAGCUUUUAUCCUCUGGGCUUUCACUGAGCUGUGG